rnacentral:rRNA from 1 species
UACGUAGGGGGCUAGCGUUGUCCGGAAUCAUUGGGCGUAAAGCGCGUGUAGGCGGUCCGGUAAGUCCGCUGUGAAAGUCGAGGGCUCAACCCUCGAAUGCCGGUGGAUACUGCCGUGCUUGAGGACUGGAGAGGAGACUGGAAUUUACGGUGUAGCGGUGAAAUGCGUAGAUAUCGUAAGGAAGACCAGUGGCGAAGGCGGGUUGCUGGGCCGACACUGACGCUGAUGCGCGAAAGCUAGGGGAGCGAAGCGGG